UACGUAGGGGGCGAGCGUUGUCCGGAUUCAUUGGGCGUAAAGCGCGCGUAGGCGGCUCCGCAAGUCGGCCGUGAAAUCUCCGGGCUCAACUCGGAGGGGUCGGGCGAGACUGCGAGGCUCGAGGUGGGCAGAGGGCAGUGGAAUUCCGGGUGUAGUGGUGGAAUGCGUAGAUAUCUGGAGGAACACCGGUGGCGAAGGCGGCAUCCUGGACCGGCAUUGACGCUGAGGAGCGAAAGCCAGGGGAGCAAACGGG
rnacentral:rRNA from 1 species